AAGGAGUCGAAUUCGUAUGCGAGUGUGCGGGUGGAGAACCCCUACGCGGAAUGAAAAGGAACGCAGGCGAGAGCUUCGGCGCAUCACCGACCGACCCUGAUGUUCGCGGAUGGAUUUGAGUAAGAGCACACGGGGCCGGACCCGAAAGAAGGUGAACUAUGCCUGUAUAGGGUGAAGCCAGAGGAAACUCUGGUGGAGGCUCGCAGCGGUUCUGACGUGCAAAUUGAUCGUCAAAUAUGGGCAUGGGGGCGAAAGACUAAUCGAACCUUCUAGUAGCUGGUUUCCGC
rnacentral:misc_RNA from 1 species